CAGCUUUCGAUGGUAGUGUAUUGGACUACCAUGGCAGUAACGGGUAACGAAGAAUUAGGGUUCGAUUUCGGAGAGGGAGCAUGAGAAACGGCUACCACAUCUAAGGAAGGCAGCAGGCGCGUAAAUUACCCAAUCCUGACUCAGGGAGGUAGUGACAAGAAAUAGCAAACCGGGAACCUCAUGGUUUCACGGUAUUGCGAUGAGAACAAUUUAAAACCCUUAGCGAGAAUCAAGUGGAGGACAAGUCUGGUGCCAGCACCCGCGGUAAUUCCAGCUCCACUAGCGUAUAUUAAAGUUGUUGCAGUUAAAAAGCUCGUAGUUGAACCUCUGUCUGGGGCUAGUUUUGGCUUUGGUCAGGCUAGUUCUAGGCAUCCGCCUACAAGACUUAGAGGGCAUUCAGUUGUUCACUAGGAGGAGUAGGCAUUUUACUUUGAAAAAAUUAGAGUGUUUAAGGCAGGCAAUCGCCCGCAUAUAUUAGCAUGGAAUAAUAGAAUAGGACACUUUUCCAUUUCGUUGGUUAUUGGAAUCGUGUAAUGAUUAAUAGGGACAGUUGUGGGCAUUUGUAUUUAAUUGUCAGAGGUGAAAUUCUCGGAUUUAUUAAAGACAAACUAACGCGAAAGCAUUUGCCAAGGAUGUUUUCAUUAAUCAAGAACGAAAGUUAGGGGAUCAAAGACGAUCAGAUACCGUCCUAGUCUUAACUAUAAACUAUUCCGGCUCAAUGUUUGACUGGCUUAUAUAACCAGUUGAGCGUUGUAUGAGAAAUCAAAGUCUUUAGGUUCUGGGGGGAGUAUGGUUGCAAAGCUGAAACUUAAAGGAAUUGACGGAAGAGCACAACCAGGAGUGGAUUCUGCGGCUUAAUUUGACUCAACACGGGGAAACUUACCAGGUUAAAACAAUAGUGUGAUUGACAGUUUGAGAGCGCUUUCUUGAUUGGUUGGGUGGUGGUGCAUGGCAGUUCUUAGUUGGUGGAGUGAUUUGUCUGCUUAAUUGCGUUAACGAACGAGACCUUAACCUGCUUACUAGACUGGCGAUCAUCAAUCGUUAGCUCUUCUUAGAGGGACUUUGGUUGUUUUAACUCCAAGGAAGUUUGAGGCAAUAACAGGUCUGUGAUGCCCUUAGAUAUCCUGGGCCGCACGCGUCAUACAAUGACUAGUUCAGAAAGUUUUCUCCUGACCCGAAAGGGGAUGGGUAAUCUUGAUAAUACUGGUCGUGUUAGGGAUCGAUCUUUGCAAUUAUAGAUCUUGAACGAGGAAUUCCUAGUAAGUGCGGUUCAUCAGACCGUACUGAUUACGUCCCUGCUCUUUGUACACACCGCCCGUCGCUUCUACCGAGUGGGUGGUCCGGUGAGAUAAUUGAACUUC
rnacentral:rRNA from 1 species